ACAAAAAGUCCAGCCUGUAAUAGGCAGGGCAAAAGAAAAUGUCAGAAGUAAUGGCUGAGUGUCUGGAACACAAAUGCACAAGCAAAAAUACAAGGCAUAGGAUCCUUGCCAUAUUGGGCUAAUUAUCUAAUCUCACAUCUGAAAGCAUAUAAAUGAUUUCACAAGCAUUAGUUUAAAUAUAGUGAAGUUCAAGAUGAAGCGGCUAAAGUAAACAAUCUUGUCAGUCAGAGAUAAAAAUGCCUGUGUUUUUCAGGAAAGGCACCAAAUACUAAGGGGCUGUUUUGCAGCAACAAAUAGAGCACCAAGAACUAUUUGCUUUUACUUUCUUUAGGAAUUCCAUGGAUUUGCCACAUGCUCUGUUGAUUAUAUGAUGAUACCAAUAGAAACCAAGCAUGGCAAUGCGGUGCCAGGAGUUGAGGUCUGAAGCUACUAUAGCAAUCACUUAUUCAAUUGAGAUGAUAAUAAUCACAUGAUAAAAUGCAUGAUGGUGGCAACAGCAAAAGAAUUCGGACAGUAUCAUACUAGCAAUAUGAAUCACUCAGCAGAAUUGUAAGAUUGGGCAAAUGACCAUGCUCCAAUCCACAAACAACUUCAACGUAUAAAUGAUUCCAUUGCCAUCAUUUGCUUACAAAAUAGAAAAUUUAUGGCAAAUUAGUUCCAGCCAAUGUUACAAUUCAAUUCUUGAAUGUAAGAUAUUGAAUACUUCCCAAACCUUAUACAAAUAUGAAAACGUAGGAGGUGCUAUCAGAAUAUGUGGUAGAAAGAGAUUGAGGAGUCAAAACGAUGACUUAAUGAUUUCACAUCUCAAUAAGAUGAAAACCACAAUCAUAGAAGAAAACGAGCCCUGGCUUUCGGGCAAUAACACUUUGAGACCAAGAUAUUUGAGAAAUGUUUGUCUAAUGCAAGGAAUUGCAAGAUAGCCUACUACGAUAUAUAACUGCUGCCAGACAAUCAAAAUUUUGCAACUAAUUAAACUUAUAGCAUCUCUGGUUGUCAAGCAACUGUUAUCUGCAAUAUACAUAAAUUACAAAAGAACUCCACAACCAGUGAUUGAAACUUCUUACCAGGAGGAUAGCACCAGUCUUAAAAGAACCAAGAGAAAGCAUUUCAAUUCCCUGAAUAGAGAAAGACAAGCCCAAAAUGUUGUUAGCCAGCCAAUGCUUCUGGGCAGCAUACCAUGCACAAAAAAAGGUUCCAGGAAUUGCAGCAACAAUCUGAGAUCUUGUGAACUCAAUCUCCAAAGAGCGGAAGAAUGGAAAAUGCCAGGUAAUAAGGUCAUCAUUCCAAUGAUUUGGCAAGUAUCGUUUGAUUGCUGGCAACAAUGUUGCCGAAAGUGCAAUGAUUCCAAGCGCGAAAAAGUAGCAUGUCAACACAGCAUUAACCAAGUCUUUUGAAAGAAACUUGAAGAGUAAGAAUAGAGAUAAUAGCAUUGCGCUCCCAACAAAGGGAAAGCGCAUUGCAUGUUCAUUAGACAUCGUCUCUGAAGGUGGAGUUGGCUUGACUGAUCGGUAGCACCCAACAUAGACUGUGAGGCAUGCAGUCAAGAUGACAUUUAAGUUUGGGUCUACCUUCACAAGAAGUGGUGCCAAUGUUAAACCUGCUAAAGCAAAAUUGGCAAGACGUUCAUUGUUCUUCAUUGUUUCCUAAUUUAUUCAAACUUCCUGCAGAAAAUUGAACUAAUGAAGACGUACGUAGCAGCCCAAUUAGGAUAAAUUAGUCCAGUAGCGAACUGAAAUCUAUUGAAAGAUAGUAACUUUAGGAUCCAGAACCAGAGACUUGUCCCUUUCUCUCUCCAACUGUUGCUGCUCAAAACAGAUCGUAGAUAGGUUUCGUCCAAGAGAGAGAGAAAGAAAAACAGAGAUUUGAGAUUUUGAUAUUCGAUAAAGAGAGACAGCCAGAUAGGGUUUUAACUAUAACAAAAUGGGAAAGAUCAAAGAAAUGGAAGUUGGCAUUUAGAGACAUCAAAUACUAACACGUUAGUCACUAAAGUGCGCUCACAGCCAAUUAGAUGACAAAGUCUAGCAGAAAAUAGCCACCGAGUAAUAUUCUAUUACACGUGGUUUUAUCUUAUUUGGCGUUGAUGGUAAAGUUAGAGAAAC
rnacentral:misc_RNA from 1 species